rnacentral:rRNA from 1 species
GGAAAACUUACCAGGUCCAGACAUAGUGAGGAUUGACAGAUUGAGAGCUCUUUCUUGAUUCUAUGGGAGGCGGUGCAUGGCCGUUCUUAGUUGGUGGAGUGAUUUGUCUGGUUAAUUCCGUUAACGAACGAGACCCCCGCCUGCUAAAUAGGUCCGUGAAUGAAUUUCAUUGACGAGAUCUUCUUAGAGGGACUUUUGGUGACUAACCAAAGGAAGUUGGGGGCAAUAA